GAGUUUGAUCUUGGCUCAGAUUGAACGCUGGCGGAAUGCUUUACACAUGCAAGUCGAACGGCAGCACGGGGGCAAUCCUGGUGGCGAGUGGCGAACGGGUGAGUAAUACAUCGGAACGUGCCCAGUCGUGGGGGAUAACGUAGCGAAAGCUACGCUAAUACCGCAUACGAACUCAGGUUGAAAGCGGGGGAUCGCAAGACCUCGCGCGAUUGGAGCGGCCGAUGGCAGAUUAGGUAGUUGGUGGGGUAAAGGCCUACCAAGCCGACGAUCUGUAGCUGGUCUGAGAGGACGACCAGCCACACUGGGACUGAGACACGGCCCAGACUCCUACGGGAGGCAGCAGUGGGGAAUUUUGGACAAUGGGCGCAAGCCUGAUCCAGCCAUUCCGCGUGCAGGAUGAAGGCCCUCGGGUUGUAAACUGCUUUUGUACGGAACGAAGGGCCUUUUCUAAUACAGAGGGCUCAUGACGGUACCGUAAGAAUAAGCACCGGCUAACUACGUGCCAGCCGCCGCAGUAAG
rnacentral:rRNA from 1 species